rnacentral:tRNA from 1 species
GUUUUAAUAAUUUAAUGAAAAUAUUGGUCUUGUAAACCAAAAACAAGCUUAGCUUUUAAAACU